rnacentral:rRNA from 1 species
UGUAGAGAGGGACCGUGGAGGGCUAUAGUACGUGCCACAACUCCGUCGGAUAAAGUUCUAGAUAGAACAAUGAUAAUGACAAUUUUCUAUCUAUAUGUCUUGACCAAAUCUUGUGCCAGCAGUCGCGGCAACACAAGGGAGACUAGUGUUAUUCAUCUUUAUUAGGUUUAAAGGGUACCUAGACGGCAUAUCAAGCCCCAAAAGGGAACUAAUAUACUAGAGUUUUAUGUGAGAGGCAAAUAUAGUACUAUAGGUGUAGAGAUAAAAUUCGUUGAUACCUAUAGGCACGGGUAACGGCGAAGGCAAUCCUCUAUGUAAAAACUGACGUUGAGGGACGAAGGCUUGGGUAGCGAAUAGGAUUAGAUACCCUAGUAGUCCAGGCAGACAAUUAUGAAUGUCAUAGAUUAGAAACAAAGAAGCAAGUAGGUUUGCUAAAGACUGUAUUAUUUAAGAGUCUUGUUAUUAAGUGUACAGUACCUACUUAACUAGUUAGUGAUAUUCACUAUUAAACUUCCUUAAACGAGAAUCUCCGCUAAGCACUCACCCUCUUUCAGGUUAGAGAGGCCUUGCCCUCCUCCCCCCUGCCAGGGAAGGGGGGGGGGAGGGGGGAUAAGCAAGGGCCAAAGCGGGUCGAGUGGUUGGAGAAGGGAAGUUUAAGGAAGGUUUAUUACCUCUUCUAAAUUUUCCUUCUGUGUGUGUAUCUUCUCUAGUUCCCGUUCACAAUUAAACGCAGCAUAUGUCUUGUGUAUAUAAAAGGGGCCCGGGUACAGGUUUGUUUCUUCAAUAAAAGGUUUGCUUCUUAAGUAAAACCGAACCUCCCCAAGUGAUCUAUAAAUGAAAGUGUAAGCAUUCCACCUCAAGAGUAAUGCGGCAACGCAGGAACUGAAAUCAUUAGACCGUUUCUGAAACCAGUAGUGAAGUAUGUUAUUUAAUUCGAUGAUCCUCGAAAAACCUUACCACAAUUUGAAUGUUAAUUAAUAAAUUAACACAGGCGUUGCAUGGCUGUCUUCAGUUAAUGUCGUGAGAUUUGGUUAGAUCCAGAAAAUUAUCGUAAACCCUUGUUCUUUAUUUGUUUGAA